UACGUAGGGUGCGAGCGUUGUCCGGAAUUACUGGGCGUAAAGAGCUCGUAGGUGGUUUGUCGCGUUGUCCGUGAAAACUCACAACUCAAUUGUGGGCGUGCGGGCGAUACGGGCAGACUGGAGUACUGCAAGGGAGACUGGAAUUCCUGGUGUAGCGGUGGAAUGCGCAGAUAUCAGGAGGAACACCGGUGGCGAAGGCGGGUCUCUGGGCAGUAACUGACGCUGAGGAGCGAAAGCGUGGGGAGCGAACAGG
rnacentral:rRNA from 1 species